rnacentral:tRNA from 1 species
GGAUGGGUGGCCGAGCGGUUUAAGGCACCGGUCUUGAAAACCGGCGUAGGUGGAAGCCUACCGUGGGUUCGAAUCCCACCCCAUCCG